rnacentral:rRNA from 1 species
AUCUACGACCAUACCACCCUGAAUGAGCCUGACCUCUGAUCUUGGGAGCCAAGCAGGGUCGGGCCUGGUUAGUAUUUGGAUGGGAGAAAUAUCAUUUAUGAAACUGGGAGUGCUAAGAUA